rnacentral:rRNA from 1 species
UAGGGAAUCUUCGGCAAUGGGGGGAACCCUGACCGAGCAACGCCGCGUGAGUGAAGAAGGUUUUCGGAUCGUAAAGCUCUGUUGUUAAGGAAGAACGAGUGUGAGAAUGGAAAGUUCAUGCUGUGACGGUACUUAACCAGAAAGGGACGGCUAACUACGUGCCAGCAGCCGCGGUAAUACGUAGGUCCCGAGCGUUGUCCGGAUUUACUGGGCGUAAAGGGUGCGUAGGUGGUCUUUCAAGUCGGUGGUUAAAGGCUACGGCUCAACCGUAGUUAGCCUCCGAAACUGGAAGACUUGAGUGCAGGAGAGGAAAGUGGAAUUCCCAGUGUAGCGGUGAAAUGCGUAGAUAUUGGGAGGAACACCAGUAGCGAAGGCGGCUUUCUGGACUGCAACUGACACUGAGGCACGAAAGCGUGGGUAGCAAACAGG